rnacentral:rRNA from 1 species
GAUAAACGCUGGCGGCGUGCCUAACACAUGCAAGUCGAACGCCCUUUUGCGCAAGUGAGAGGGAGUGGCGGACGGGUGAGUAGCACGUGGGUACCUACCCCAAGAUGAGGAAUACCACCGAGAAAUCGGUGACAAGACCGCAUACCUUCGGCCACGAAGAAAGCUUCUCCUCACGAGAGGCGUCUUGGGAUGGGCCUGCGCCUGAUUAGCUGGUUGGUGAGGUAACAGCNCACCAAGGCGACGAUCAGUAGCUGGUCUGAGAGGAUGAUCAGCCACACUGGGAUUGAGAACGGCCCAGACUCCUACGGGGGGCAGCAGUGAGGAAUUUUCGUCAAUGGGGGCAACCCUGAACGAGCAACGCCGCGUGCGAGGAUGACUACGUUUU